CCGUGAGGGAAAGUUGCAAAGCACUUUGAAGAGAGAGUUAAAGAGGACGUGAAACCGAUAAGGUGGAAACGGAUAGAGUCAACGUAUCUAGCUUGUAUUCAGCUGCCGGCCGGUGGUCAGGCUUGCCAAACAAACCCGNUUCUGGUUGGUUGGCGGGUCGCUUCGAUUGCUGGCUGGUAGUGCAUUUGCAAGUGGAGUGCGCUGAGAGGUGUGGGUUAGCGAUUGGACACGGGCUUUGAGGGCACCUCUUCGGAGGUAAAUCCCGGGCCCGGCGAAAAUUGUUUAGCCUGCACUACUCCGGGGCAAUGGCCUACGAGUUUUGGCGCCAGCACGGCUAUCACUGGUAACGGUCACAUGUGACACGUGCCUGUUGUUGUCGCGUUGGUGU
rnacentral:rRNA from 1 species